GUGGUACCACAACAGUCAGGAGCUGCAGAACCAGACCUCCAGAACCCUCACACUCUACAAGAUCUCUCGCAAGCUUCACGAAGACGCCAUAUCGUGCGAGGUGUCGAACAAGGUGGGCACGUCGAAGAAGACCCAGACUGUACACGUACAGUACGGCCCCAUGUUCCGGUCCUUGCCACGUGACGUGAUGGCGGAGACGGGCAAGGAAGUUCUCCUCAAGUGUGACGUCGACGCCAACCCGCCCUCGACCAUCGUCUGGCUCCAGGAGGGCUCUGACAAGGUCAUCGGGUCUGGGCGCGAGCUGGUGGUGGUGGUCGGGGCGUCGACGGCCGGCGUGUACACCUGCGUGGCCAGCGUCAGGGGCUUCCCGGACCUGCAGGGGCGGCUGAGGGUGCUGGUGAAGGGUCCUCCGACCAUCGUGAGCGCCGGGGAGCAGCAGGGGAGGAUGGGCGACACUGUUACUCUCGAGUGCAGUACCGUCUCUAUCCCCAGUCCUAUCCGCAUCACCUGGACCUAUAAUGGAAGGGAGAUCGAUUUCAGUGACCCUCGCUACGACGUGGUCCAGGACGAGCAGGAGGAAGGCCUGAGGAACAUCCUGGUGAUCCACGACGCCGACUCUCAAGACUUUGGUGCCUACAACUGCUCGGUGGUGAAUGAGUACGGAGUCGCCAGGAAGCAGAUCAGACUCAACAAGGAGAAGACGGUGCCUGUGCUGCUGCUGGUCGGGGGCGUGGUGGCCCUGGUGGUCGUGGCCGUGGUCGUCGCCUCCCUCGUGUUAUGCAACAAACGACACACCACGAUCAAAGAGCGGACCCAUCGCUUGCGUGGGAGUGUUUACGAUUACCUUGGGCGUCGAACGGUCAGGUUUAGCAAAGGUUCCCCAGUGCCUGAGAAGCCCGUGGCCCUGACAGUGGUGCCAGGGCCACAGGUCGCCAACAUGUACUCGGCUGCCUCAGACACGAAGCUCUCAGAGGACCUGACGCCAGCCACCACGCCCUCACACCCGACCUUCGAGCAGCUCACGCCCACGGACCAGGCUAAGGUCAGAGUCGCUCACGCGCUGAAUCGGCUGAGUGGCGACUCCGGACAGACCUUCAUACCUGAUCCUGACAGUGAAGGGGGCAGAGGCUACGUGCCCUUCGUGGACUACAGCGGCAGGGACUAUGCUCCAGUACCCAAUGGUCGACGUGCCUCCUUCAGCGACCUGGGGCCAUACACUCACCCGGGUCCUCCGACUUCGAUUUCCUCCGCCACGACUGACUUCUGCACCAUCAGGAGAGGGACGAGAGGCAGCGACCUGGCGGCUGAGAACGGCAGAAGCCUGCUGGCCUCUCCUAACUACCACGACACCUCGAGUUUGCGUCACAACGGCAACGCCCACACACUUUCCCGCCAUUCUGCGUACUCAACCGGCCGCGCCACGACCUACGGCUCUCCGCCGCCUCCACCAUACCCUAAGAACCCUAAAAUAGGGUCCCCACGAGGGGCCCCCUCUCCCACGGGGCCCCAAGCCCUAACACUCCCUAAUUCCAUCGUGCACACCGACGAACACGGGUCACCCGAGGCGAAGUAUAUCUUUUCUCCUGAAGCCAUGAUGAAGCCAGGCACUCUGGUGUGACCCGAGCUUCUUCCUUGUCUUGACGGGAGCUGAGACAUCGCUGAGAGCCGGGAGUUCGCCCUCCUGCUCCGCCACUCUCAGCGCUCUCAGGAGAACCCUUCACCUGGGCUUUUAGAUACUUGUGGAGGUGUACAUUAGUAAACUCCGAGUGUGGUCCUGAAGUACAGCUUAAUGACUCCCCCCUUUUCCGUCUGUUAGAGCCGCAACCUCUGUGGAGCUUCCACCCUCUCUGUGGAGCCUCCAUCCUCUCUGUGGAGCCUCCACCCUCUCUGUGGAGCCUCCACCCUCUCUGUGGGGUCCCGCGGAGGCUACUGACAUGACAUUCAGUGCGUCAUCAAAGUGGGGUAACCUCAGUGGUGCUUCGAAAAGAGGCAGUCGAGGUGCGUGUGGACUGUAGUUGGUCUCAUUACCCGCCGCCAUCACUCUCGGGGACUCUGACCGCUGCCAUUAUGGCCGCCAAACGCUAGUAAGUGCACUCCUGCUUCGCUUCGUAUUCCAAAAGAGUCUUAGACGAUUUUAUUGAUAAUGAAAUGGUUCUUAUCCUGAAUUUUGAAUUCAGAACAGCAAAGGAGUGACUGUGUGUGUGUGUGUGUGUGUGUGUGUGUGUGUGUGUGUGUGUGUGUGUGUGUGUGUGUGUGUGUGUGUGUGUGUGUGCGUGCGUGUGCUCACACUGCUCUCAGUUGCCAGCGGAAAAUGAGAGAAUGUAGUCUUUUUCACCGACCUAUGUAGUGAUUGCCAAAAGGGUACAUGAACAGACUUUUAUCUUAGAGGUGAUUGCACCUGCAGAUCACUUCCUAACUACCCCCAGACGUUGAUGUGGUGACAAGGCGAACUUACCACACGGGCUCCUUAUCCUUUUCCUUAACGAGCCGGUAAGCACUGUGGCAUUAAUACACAAGUUAACAGUUUACUGAUCACAAACCCGAAACUCGCCGGGCGGCGCGCGCGCACAUGUUCUGAAUAGCAGCUGGUCAUUGUUAGCGUCAACAACAGCUGGACAUUAAUGAGACAAUAGAUGGAGAUGUUUCUCAGUGUGACAGAACACAGAUACAAAACACAGUAGAACGAAAAUUUGUAUAAUUCCUUUUUUUCUGAUUUGUCCUGCGCUUGAUAAGUCUAGUAACCUAGAGUCAGGGAGUUAAUCUAUUAGGUGACUGAGGCCUCCAAACACCCGUGAUUGACCUUGCACCAGGAAGCCACCCACAAUAGUUGCCUACCUCCAGGUACCUAUUUACUGUUGGAUGAACAGAGGCAUCGGGUGUAAGGAAUUGUCUUCAGACGUGUCUCUUUCUUGGUGCGGAAUCCCACACUCGGAAACCUUUUGUAUGUGAACCUUGUUGCAAGGAGACAGACAGACAUACAGCCUCAAUCACCUUCACGAAGGUGGUCCAACACCCACCUGGUGGGUGAAGAUGACCCAGGGGUCACGGGGGGGGGGGGCGUAGCCCCUGGGUAACUACCCAAUAACAACUCUAACAGUUUUCGCUCCAUCCUCGAGGCCGGGAGCCCAGCUUCACCUCGUCUCCUCAGCCCUAACAGAAUUUGCUUUUCCAAUUUGAGCUCGACAAUAAUAGUCUCCUUGUUCGCGGAGACAAUUAAAGAGGCAAGACGGUCGUGCCAAGAUAGACAAUUACACUGUCGACGACUACAAGAUGGUUGUUAGACUGUGAAAGCAACUCAAGUUACCCCAGCUGGAGCUCCGAGAGGAAAUUCAAAUUAAGUUUCGAUAAAAGUGAACUUGCGUACGACGAACUUGACAACGAUCUCGUGAGAGGUUGUCGAGGACACCCUGGGGUCUUGAAGAGGUUGUCGAGGACACCCUGGGGUCUUGAUGUGGUUGUCUAGGACACCCUGGGAUCUUGAAGAGAUUGUUGAGGACACCCUGGGGUCUUGAAGAGGUUGUCGAGGACACCCUGGGGUCUUGAAGAGGUUGUCUAUGACACCCUGGGGUCUUGAUGUGGUUGUCUAGGACACCCUGGGGUCUUGAUGUGGUUGUCUAGGACACCCUGGGGUCUUGAUGUGGUUGUCGAGGACAUCUUGGACACAGACGAGGGGGGGAGGGCGGUAUAAGGGCCGUAAGUCCUUGGGUGACAAGUCGUUGUCUGUCGAGCAAGAUGCUCGACAGGGGAAAAUCCUGUCAUCUGUCCAACUCUCACAACUCUGCCUUUUCUUGUGGAGGUCUUUAUAGGGGAAACAAUUGACCAAUUACUCAGUUAAUGGACUGUUAGGCACGCUUCAAUUAGCUCCUUCUAAGGGCUCGUUCAGAACUUGGCACUCUCGCUGCAGGCCAGUAGUCUCCUUCCAUUCUUGAAGGACUUUCAGAAGUUUCUCAUUUAGAUUCUCAUCAUUUUUGUUUAUCUCCUUCUUCCUUGUCUCUCUUCUUUAAUUAAUUUUUCCUCUAGCAUUCACUUCAUGAGCUUCUCUCAUACGACUCUUGUACUUAGGCCCCCAGAGUUCGCUGUUGCUAGGGAGGUUAAACAGCUUUAUCUUAGAAGACGCUGAACAACAUUUAUGCGUCUGGGAUGUAAAUAAACUUUGAGCAGCGAUUACCUGAUCAACCAGGCUGUGACUCAUACGUCAGGCUGCGAGCAGCCGCGUCUAACAGCCUGGUUGAUCAGUCCAGCAACCAGGAGGCCUGGUCGACGACCGGGCCGCGGGGACACUAAGCCCCGGAAGCACCUCAAGGUAACCUCAAGGUAGCGUGCGUUACUGCUUCUGGGAGACCAAUGACUGAAAACUAACAAUAAAUUUCAAGAAUUUGUGAAAAAAAAUUCCUGGUCUAAAUUUGUGGGUAUUUACCGUUUAUUGUCAAAACAAAAGAUGGCUUUAGUUUUCCGUGCAGUGGGAGCCGGGAGGCCUGAUACGCUAACAGUAUUGCAAUAAUUCCCAUCCAAAUAUUCCUCGUGCGUUAAAAGCUGUCAUUCUAUCAAAUCUGGAGAGCGCAGUGUUUGCCCCGGCCAGCUGAUGGUAGCCACACACACACCCACACACACACACACACACACACACACACACACACACACACACACACACACACACACACACACACACACACACACACACACACAC
rnacentral:misc_RNA from 1 species